rnacentral:lncRNA from 1 species
UUAUAUAAAAUUGAGAAUGGAAAUGGGGAAUGUGCCAAAGAGACAACAACCUGACCAUAGAAAAAAAAACAACAGCAGAAGGUCACCAACAGGUCUUCAAUGUAGCGAGAAAUUCCAGCACCCGGAGGCGUCCUUCAGCUGGCCCCUAAACAAAUAUAUACUAGUUCAGUGAUAAUGAACGCCAUACUAAUUUCCAAAUUGUACACAAGAAACUAAAAUUAAAAUAAUACAAGACUAACAAAGGCCAGAGGCUCCUGACUUGGAACAGGCGCAAAAAUGCGGCGGGGUUAAACAUGUUUGUGAGAUCUCAACC